rnacentral:rRNA from 1 species
CCUACGGGGGGCAGCAGUCGAGAAUCAUUCACAAUGGGGGAAACCCUGAUGGUGCGACGCCGCGUGGGGGAAUGAAGGUCUUCGGAUUGUAAACCCCUGUCAUGUGGGAGCAAAUUAAAAAGGUAGUACCACAAGAGGAAGAGACGGCUAACUCUGUGCCAGCAGCCGCGGUAAUACAGAGGUCUCAAGCGUUGUUCGGAAUCACUGGGCGUAAAGCGUGCGUAGGCUGUUUCGUAAGUCGUGUGUGAAAGGCGCGGGCUCAACCCGCGGACGGCACAUGAUACUGCGAGACGAGAGGAAUGGAGGGGGAACCGGAAUUCUCGGUGUAGCAGUGAAAUGCGUAGAUAUCGAGAGGAACACUCGUGGCGAAGGCGGGUUCCUGGACAUUAACUGACGCUGAGGCACGAAGGCCAGGGGAGCGAAAGGGAUUAGAUACCCUUGUAGUC